UCCCGGGUCGUCUAAUGGCAGGACAAAGAGUUUUGGUCUCUUGAAUGAGGGUUCGAUUCCUUCCCCGGGAGCUA
rnacentral:tRNA from 1 species